AUAUUUGUAUCUACCUCAUUGGUUUUAGGACUAAAUGAAACCAUGCGACGUUCUCACCUCAGUAUCUGGCACUACUGGAAGAAUAGUCCUGAGAUUCAUGAUCUGGAGCCAGAAGUAUCCAUAUGUUUUUGGUUCUGCUUAUGUUUCCUCUAUAUGCUAUACACCAAAUAUUUCAUCACAGGCAGAUAAACUAUUAAUUAUCAAAGGCAAAGGUGAGCAUUAGGAAUUUCUGAAAGGAUCUGGACACCGUCACAUUAAAGGAGUUUCAGGGAAGCCGGCGGCAGAUUCCAGCAUCUCACUACUCUCUAACCAAGAACUUGGCACUAGAUUCUUCUACGUGAGCCUAUGUACUGAGAGGCUUUGUGCUGGCUUAUUCAGAAAAGUAAUAAACCGACACACCAACCAAGCAAGAAACAAACUACACCAAACACCAGGACAUCAGUGGCAUAACCAAACAGAUUUCACGUGACCUCGCAGGGCCAUCCACGCAGAUGAGAAUGAGAAUACAGGCCCUUGGAAUUGUGCCCAGGCAUUUUCAAAGUGUGCAGAGUAGAAGAAGGACGAAUGGGAGGAGCCGACGGACUUGAUCCCAAGGAAAUGUUCACAUAUGAUCUGGUGACUGGUCUGUCAGACCAGAUGUCAUAAGACUCGAGUUAUUUUCCAGUUGCUGUGGGACCAGUGACAAGUCAUACCACCCUGCCUUUCACAAUAUUUCAAAACAUGUGUCACGCAGCUCUUUAAACCAGUUUACCAGCUUCAUCAUUUCUUCCUACUAAUCCACAUCACACAUGACCUACUAAAGGGCAGUGAAUUCUAAGAGGACAACACCAGAAAAGGAAAACAGUGAGUAUAUGAAACCCAGGAAAAAGCCAUCAUUAUUCUCAUAAACUUAAAAGUGAAUUUAAAAUACAACAAGCACUAAUAAUCAUUGAUUAACAAGCCGCAGGAAUUGAAUAAUAACCGAAGUUGCACAGGCAGCGUUAAAAUCUAGGUAGUAAACACAUGGUUCCCAAACUUGUAUUUUUAUUAUUUUACUCUGAGAGAGUGCACAUAUGCGCAAUCGGGGUGGGCAGGGGACAGAGGGAGAGGGAAAGAGAAUGUUAAGCGGCUCCACCCUCAGGCUCCACCCCCAGGGCCGAGCCCAACAGGCAGGGCUUGA